rnacentral:lncRNA from 1 species
ACCACCGAGUCCCCCGAGGCCCGCCCUCAGCGUGUCUUAUUCCAUUUUGAAGUCCCUGCCAUGCGGCAACACCUCGGUCACCUCACCACGGGCAUCAAGGGAAGUAGAAGGGUCCCGUUCCGCCAGCAGGGAGCGGCAGAGUUGCUUCUCUCUGAUGACUACAAAGUUGUAAAUGUCUGAGGUGUGGUUGCAUAGCACCUGUAUUUCCCAAGAUGGCUACACAAAUAAAAGAACCAUGGUGGGAUCCAUGGUCUAGCAGGAAACAAGGUUCAUCUCCUUCUGGAAAACAUGGUACCACUGAGACAGAUCAGCCAUGUCCGUGUGAUGAGAACAGACGGAAUUCCAGCUAUCACAGAGAGAAAGACAGGAAUGAAAGGACUGUUGUGCCAAAGCAGUGACUCCCCAAGGAUAUGCAAACAGCAUCCAGAGCGACGUCGCGAUGAGAGUGCAGAGAUGCCCUGGGUUUGAGGCUGCGCUGGACGCCCCAGGUCUGGGAUAAGGCCCAUAAGUGGAGGAAUGCCUCCCUCCCUACGGCCCCCCAGCGCAACCGGCGUCGUCUUCGCGUUUACUGCAGCGCCCAUGAAAUUUUAAUGCAGGAGCGGCUGGCGGGCGGAGUUGCCGCACCCGGCCUCGGGCGUGGGGGUGGGGUGGGGCACACGAACAAGCACCCAUCUUGCGGACCAGGACUCAAGCAAAGAGAUGUGGGGUGCACAUCUCUCCCGCGCCUCACAAAGGGGCUACUGCGAGCCUCAGCCUCAGCAUCCCCCCCCUGCGGCGCUGCCAUAGCAACGCUGGCCAGUGGAGAGGCGCGCGACGGUCGGAGGCGCGAUCGCGGACCUGGCGCCUAAGCGAGAAGCACUGCCUAGAAUCCCAGAAGAGGACCCGGUAUCCGUGCUUGGCUCUCAGGGCCGGGGCGUGGUUGCCGAGGAACUCUGUUAGGAAGAGUCCUGGUCAGGGCGGCGGCAAGAUUCGAACCCAAGUCUGUGGCAGAGGUCUCUAAUUUUGGCAUCUGCUCUGCCUGCACUCCUUGGCACCAUCACGAGCUUUACAGGGAUGCUAAAGAGUCGCUAAAAACCUUGGUUCUGUGAUGCUCCAGACCAGCGCCAUCCACACCUUUGAGACCAUGAUGUAAUUGUCAUCUUCUAAGCCCCAAUAUAGUGCCGCUGGAUCAAAA